GAUGGAUAUCCCAGGCAAAUCGACUUCUGAGAGACAGGAUAAACUGACCUCAUCAUCUUCAACAUUUGAAAGUUGCAGUUCAUCCAUUAAUCGAUUUCACAGUUUGAAUUAUUAGGAAGAUGAAGAUCACGGAGCCAUCAAGCGAGUCGCUCACUACGUCUUCAAAAUCCGAAUUAGAUCCGACAAGGUAAACAAAUCAACUCUCCGUUUGAUUUGUAAAUGCUAUUGGAUUUAGGAUCUGAGAUUCAGAUUCAAUUGCAAUUCUAGGGCUUCAUUCAAGGUUUUUUCAGCACCAUUUUGAAGUAUAAUAAAUCAAGAAGUUGUGUUUGGUUUAAACUGAAUAUAUUGUAAAUAGUAUGCAUGUAUAUUAGCAUUAGUUAAUUGUUCCUUGUAAAUCUAUUUCUAUCGGAGAAUGAACCGAGCAAACCUGGUUAUACCUCAAGGGUAGCAGUAGCAGCAGCAGCAGCGUUUAGACGUUUUUUAGGUAAAUCCAAGGAAGAUGUAGCCGCCAUUAAGGUUCAAACAGCUUUUCAGCGUUUCUCGGCACGAAGAAAGUUGCGGGCUUUGAAAGGGCUUGUGAGAUUAAAAGUGUUGGUUCAAAGUCAAUCGGUCAAACGACAAGCAAUAACCACUUUAAGAUGUAUGCAGACUCUAGCCCGUGUGCAGUCUCAGGUUUGAGCCAGGAGGAUCAGAAUGUCGGAAGAAAACCAAGCCCUUUAAAGAGAGCUUAUGCAGAAACGCGAGCGAGAGCUUGGUAACAUGAAAUCCUAUGGUUUCGAAGAACGACCAGGGUGAUGUGAGUGAAGUGACAUCCACAUUUUCCGCCUGCUCUCCUCCUCUACUUUUCCGGAUUGCUCAAGAAACUGGAUUCUGAAUUGAAGCGUGAGGUCUGUCAUUGGGCUGCAUAUUAUGUAAGUUCAUGAUAAUGUCUCAUCAAAGACUCAUAAGACUGUAAUACCCUGUUUAUGGCAUUCAUAUCCUUAGGUAUGGAUUAGUUUGGAUCUCAUUGUUCAGCUGUUUAUGAAUUGUAAAUUAAAAGGUGACCCAUUUGAUUCACAGUUUGUACUUGCUUCAACUUUAUUUAAGUUGGCUGGUGUGCCAUUUACUUACAUGUAGAAAAUUAGAACAGUGAAAUAGCAUUGUUGAUUAAUUGUGUUGUGUUUCUGAGCGAUAGAGUUUUUUUCUGAUUAGUUGUAUUACUUUUGUUUCUGAGCGAUUAAUUGAGUUUUUUAUUCGACCCAGGUACUUAGAAUUGGCCUAUAUCGAGUCAAGUGGGCCAAAUCAAAAGUUUAGCUUAAAAGGA